AACCUAGCACACCUGCGGUGUGUACCUGCGGAGGGAUCAUUAUCGAGUUGCAAAACUCCAACCCUUUGUGAACAUACCUCAGUCGUUGCUUCGGCGGUGGACGGCCUGUUUUUCGGAACGGCCGGAAGCCGCCGGAGGUUCCAAACUCGUAUUUUUUAGUGUAUCUCUGAGCCUGAAAACAAAUAAUCAAAACUUUCAGCAAUGGAUCU
rnacentral:misc_RNA from 1 species